rnacentral:rRNA from 1 species
CCUACGGGAGGCAGCAGUGAGGAAUAUUGGUCAAUGGGCUUACGCCUGAACCAGCCAAGUCGCGUGAGGGAAGACUGCCCUAUGGGUUGUAAACCUCUUUUGUCAGGGAGUAACGCCGGCUACGUGUAGCCGGACUGAGAGUACCUGAAGAAAAAGCAUCGGCUAACUCCGUGCCAGCAGCCGCGGUAAUACGGAGGAUGCGAGCGUUAUCCGGAUUUAUUGGGUUUAAAGGGUGCGUAGGCGGAAUGCCAAGUCAGCGGUAAAAGCGCGGGGCUCAACCUCGCUCCGCCGUUGAAACUGGCGUUCUUGAGUGGGCGAGAAGUAUGCGGAAUGCGUGGUGUAGCGGUGAAAUGCAUAGAUAUCACGCAGAACUCCGAUUGCGAAGGCAGCAUACCGGCGCCCAACUGACGCUGAAGCACGAAAGCGUGGGUAUCGAACAGGAUUAGAUACCCUAGUAGUC